GACGAACGCUGGCGGCGUGCCUAAUACAUGCAAGUAGAACGCUCAAGAGAGGAGCUUGCUCUUCUUGCGUUAGUUGCGGACGGGUGAGUAACACGUAGGUAACCUGCCUUUUAGAGGGGGAUAACUACUGGAAACGGUAGCUAAUACCGCAUAACAUUUGGUGACACAUGGCUCAUUUUUGAAAGAGGCAAUUGCUCCCCCACAAGAUGGACUUCCGUUCUCUUAGCUUGUAGGUUAGGUAAUGGCCUAACUAGGCGACGAUUCAGAGCCGACCUGAGGAGGUGAACGGCCCAACCGGGAAUGGGACCAGGCCCAGACUCCUACGGGAGGGAGCAGUAGGGAAUCCUUGGCAAAUGGGGGAAACCUGGCCGGGCAAAGCCGGGUGAGGGAAGAAGGGUUUCGGAUUGUAAAGACCCUUUUUUAGUCAAGAACGGGUGUGGGAGUGGAAAAUGCACGUUGUGACGGUAGCUAAUCAGAAAGGGACGGCUAACUACGUG
rnacentral:rRNA from 1 species